rnacentral:lncRNA from 1 species
UGAUCGGGAACUGCUAACCAUCUUAUUGUACACCUUAUGACUGUGUUAGUGAUGAUAAGUCUUUAGUUUGAAGUUUAGUGUAUUGUGGCAUGUUAUUUGUCUUUUCUUUUUUCUGCCUUGGACCAUCGAAUUUGUCGUCUUUCUUCGAUGGAUGUGCCCUUUUAUAUCUUCCUAAUAUUUUUACAUUAUUCAUUACUUCAAUUGAGGCAUGAAAUGUAGAGAAAAAAAAUAAAUAUUUUUAUGAAUUUAACAUUUUAUCAGUAAUGUGGACUCGUGUAAUCAUUUUGUUUCAAGAUGUGACAAAUACAGGAGAUAGAACAGUGUCGAAAGUGCGUUCAGGUUUGAGCAAAUAUUUCUUUUGAUUCACUAUUAAAAUAGUUGAAUAAGAGAUGCAAUGUUCUACGUCUGAUGUUGCAUGGUAGAUACAUUGGGAAAUAAUUUACAAUAUAAAAAAAUCUACAAACUUCCAAAUCCCUUUUAGUAUAGACAUUAAAAGAAAGUCUUACCGAGAAAACAUAAAGAUAAUAAGAGUGUCUGUUAGACUGUUAUUAUGAAUGCAAAAGUGGUAGGAAUCUAACAUAAUCAUCCCGUUGAAGUCCCGUUGAAGAUGCCAGCACUUAUCAAUAAAUAUAUUGCAACUGUACAGCGUCGUAUACGUCAUCUAAAAAAAGCCUGACGUUACAGAAGGCACUAUGCCAUAAAUUCGAUUAGUCUCGCCAACAGUUUGAUCGAAAACUUGUUUUAAAAAUAUCACAAGUGUUAUCAAUCAAAUAUUGGAACAGCAAUACAGAAAAAUAGAAGUAAACGUCAAGAAGAGAAUGGAAGUGAAAAUGAAAAACAUUCGAAUAUUCGACAAAGGCAUAUAUUAGCAAGGAACACCGACAUUUUUUAAUCAGGUUUAAAGCAGACACAUCGGAUCGAAGCCUUUAAAAACAGAUGUAUAUAAUUAGACACGUUGUCAUAGACAUUUUGACACCAGAGAAAACAGUACAUAUAAACUUGCAAAUUCCCAAAAAAAAGAGAGUAUAUCAAAGUGCAAAAAAUACAGAAAUUGUUAAUUUCAUUCUGGAUUUAUCUUACGGAAUUUUCAGAAACAUACACCAAACACGUAUUAGUAGAUAGAGCUUUAAGACAAAAAUGUGUUCGAGUUCUUUGGGUCUUCAAAAAAGAGAUUUAUAUGGUGUUUUUUUCUUAUAAUUGGCACAGAAAAAAAGCAAAGAUUGCUUACAAUAAAGCAACCAAAAACUUUAAGUUAUUAGUUUUUAAAGAUGUAUAUAACUCAGACGGACUUUAGAUACUUUUUAUAAGUCGCACUCCGCCUUUUUUCACAGGCACUGUGUAGUUCGAAUAUAUAAACUCUGCAUUGCAAAAAAACAACAAUGUUGGAUUCUUUAUAUGAUGCCUUACAAAGAUAAAAAAUACAAAUAGAUAUUUUACUCAAACAGACAAAUUGUUGUGGCUUUAAGUCGAUCAGUUUUCAGUGUUUCAAAUUCUAAAUGCCGAGUGCAUGCUUUGUGGAGAAGCAGUAAACACAUAUUUUAACUUAAGCUUGACCCAACAUAUAUAGGAUCUACCCAUAUACUUUCUGUUUAAACUAUUGAAACACACUACUACGGGAUCAUUGCAGGGUGGUUGACAGACUUUGAGGUUAUGUACACACUUGCGGUUUCUGUAAAACGUGUACAGAUACAAAACUUUUAAAGAGUAUCUUAUAUGAGAUAACGAAAAGAGUCGUUAUAUUACGCGGUUUUUAGGUUAAGUGUAAGUACUUGGUAGAUUCUAACUGUUUGUAUGAAGAGUGAUUUACUUAACGAAGAUUAUACAAAGAAAACAAUAGGGGUUGAGAACAAUAUUUGUAAAGGAUUAGUCUGCGGGGAGACAAUGUAAAGAUACCUUGGCGUAUAAUCAGUAUAUUUAGUCUGCAGGGAGAAGGGACAGUGUAAAGAUACCUUGGCGUAUAAUCAGUAUCUUUAGUCUGCAGGGAGAAGGGAGAAGGGACAAUGUAAAGAUACCUUGGCGUAUAAUCAGUAUAUUUAGGUUCUCUAAGGGUAGUGAAAGGAAGUGAACAUAUCUUCUGUAAAAAUUUACAAAUUAACUUGCUGAUUUGAAUAGACCUAGACCAGUAUAAUGAAGACCAUCUUUCUCACAUGAUAGGUCGAAGUUGAAUCAAUGGAGUUUUCGGUUGAUAAAGCAACAACAGAACAAAAACCAAAAGUUUUAAAACGGUUAUAUAUGGGGUGGAAAGUUUGGUAUUCAUUUUGUACUCAUUUGUAUUUUUGGACAACAAUUUCUACAUUCUUUUAACAUUCUUUAUUCUUUACGCCCAAUUACUUAUUUCAAUAAUUUAGCACCCAAUUAUUCUUUAAUCUAUAUGCCGCCUUUGUUCUCAUUUUUUUUUUUUUUUUUUUUAAUUUUUCUAAAUUAAUAUCUACUAUAUAAACGCCAUUAUACACUCUUAUGUGUGGUGAACAAGAGCAGUGUGCAGAGUCAUGAACAAUGAUUAACAGGGAAAAAUUAUGAACGCUUUUUGUGUAGCUUUAUUUGAAAAAAAAUGUUCUUUUAUUUCUAUCAAUAAAAUAUAGAUUUUUUGCAAAAAUGUUUACUUUUGUCAAAGAUAACUGUCCAUGACCGAAACGGCAAGAAUAACAAUUCACUGUGAUAUAUUUUGUGUAGAAAUAUAUUACAUGUACAUCUAUAAUUUAUAUAUUUCAUGUUAUAAAAAUUCAUCAAUCUAAU